UACAGAGGUCUCAAGCGUUGUUCGGAUUCAUUGGGCGUAAAGGGUGCGUAGGUGGCGCGGUAAGUCGGGGUGUGAAAUUUCGGAGCUUAACUCCGAAACUGCAUUCGAUACUGCCGUGCUUGAGGACUGGAGAGGAGACUGGAAUUUACGGUGUAGCAGUGAAAUGCGUAGAGAUCGUAAGGAAGACCAGUGGCGAAGGCGGGUCUCUGGACAGUUCCUGACACUGAGGCACGAAGGCCAGGGGAGCAAACGGG
rnacentral:rRNA from 1 species